rnacentral:rRNA from 1 species
GAUGAACGCUGGCGGCGUGCCUAAUACAUGCAAGUCGAGCGAACAGACGAGGAGCUUGCUCCUCUGACGUUAGCGGCGGACGGGUGAGUAACACGUGGAUAACCUACCUAUAAGACUGGGAUAACUUCGGGAAACCGGAGCUAAUACCGGAUAAUAUAUUGAACCGCAUGGUUCAAUAGUGAAAGACGGUUUUGCUGUCACUUAUAGAUGGAUCCGCGGCGCAUUAGCUAGUUGGUCAGGUAACGGCUUACCAAGGCGACGAUGCGUAGCCGACCUGAGAGGGUGAUCGGCCACACUGGAACUGAGACACGGUCCAGACUCCUACGAGAGGCAGCAGUAGUGAAUCUUCCGCAAUGGGCGAAAGCCUGACGGAGCAACGCCGCGUGAGUGAUGAAGGUCUUCGGAUCGUAAAACUCUGUUAUUAGGGAAGAACAAAUGUGUAAGUAACUAUGCACGUCUUGACGGUACCUAAUCAGAAAGCCACGGCUAACUACGUG